ACGAUGAAGUUCCUUCGGGAAUGGAUUAGUGGCGAACGGGUGCCGUACACGUGAGAAACCUGCCUUUCAUUCUGGGAUAACACCGGGAAACCGGCGCUAAUACCGGAUACUCCAUCUUGGCGGCAUCGCCGAGCUGGGAAAAAAUUUUGAUGAAAGAUGGUCUCGCGGCCUAUCAGCUAGUUGGUGAGGCAAAGGCUCACCAAGGCGACGACGGGUAGCCGGCCUGAGAGGGCGACCGGCCACACUGGGACUGAGGCACGGCCCAGACUCCUACGGGAGGCAGCAGUAGGGAAUAUUGGGCAAUGGGCGAAAGCCUGACCCAGCGACGCCGCGUGAGGGAUGAAGGUCUUCGGAUUGUAAACCUCUUUCAGUAGGGAAGAAGCGAAAGUGACGGUACCUAAAGAAGAAGCACCGGCUAACUAUGUGCCAGCAGCCGCGGUAAUACAUAGGGUGCAAGCGUUGUCCGGAAUUAUUGGGCGUAAAGAGCUCGUAGGUCGUUUGUCGCGUCGAUUGUGAAAAUCUGAGGCUCAACCUCAGACCUGCAGUCGAUACGGGCAAACUAGAGUGUGGUAGGGGAGACUGGAAUUCCUGGUGUAGCGGUGGAAUGCGCAGAUAUCAGGAGGAACACCAAUGGCGAAGGCAGGUCUCUGGGCCAUAACUGACACUGAGGAGCGAAAGUGCGGGGAGCGAACAGGAUUAGAUACCCUGGUAGUCCGCACCGUAAACGGUGGGCACUAGUUGUGGGAACCUUCCACGGUUUCCGCGACGCAGCAAACGCAUUAAGUGCCCCGCCUGGGGAGUACGAUCGCAAGAUUAAAACUUCAAGGA
rnacentral:rRNA from 1 species